rnacentral:misc_RNA from 1 species
UCGGAAGGUGCGGCUGGAUCACCUCCUUUCUAGGGAGACAUACACCAAGCCAAGAGCUUGGAUGUCACUUAGGUCGACACUUUGGCACCUAACAUUGUUCGGUUUUGAGAGAUCUGUUAUCUACAAGAUAAUAAUUUCUCAUUAUAUUAAAUGGGCCUAUAGCUCAGCUGGUUAGAGCGCACGCCUGAUAAGCGUGAGGUCGGUGGUUCGAGUCCACCUAGGCCCACCAUUUAAUACAUGGGGGCGUAGCUCAGUUGGGAGAGCACCUGCCUUGCAAGCAGGGGGUCAGGAGUUCGAAUCUCCUCGUCUCCACCAUUUAGUAUUUGACAGCGAGCCUGUGAUAUACUAAUUGUUUGUUCUUUGAAAACUGCAUAGAAGAUAAUUAUAUAUAUUUGUAAGGUCAUCUCUUAGAAUUUCUAAGUAGGUUGACCCGAGCACAUAGGAAAUAAUUCUCUGACUUAAUGGUGACGUACAUGAAAAUGUACGGCUACAAAAAACGACAAUGUAUCUAAUACAUGUCAAUAUUAUCUCUCAUGUAUUCAAUCAUGAGAUUUUCGUUAGCAUUUGAUGCAUAUCUAGGAGCCUGAGCGAGAUGAAGCCGCCGCGUACUAUUGUACGUAAGGCAAAAUCGAGCGUGAGGCGACGACGAUAGGCGCAAAUGAUAACGCAAAAUAAGUAAAGAUAAUAAGGGCGUACGGUGGAUGCCUUGGCGAUAUCAGCCGAAGAAGGACGCGGUAAGCUGCGAUAAGCUACGGAGAGGUGCAAGCAACCUGUGACCCGUAG